rnacentral:rRNA from 1 species
AGUGAACGCUGGCGAUAGGCCUAACACAUGCAAGUCGAACGGCAGCACAGUAAGAGCUUGCUCUUACGGGUGGCGAGUGGCGGACGGGUGAGGAAUACAUCGGAAUCUACUUUUUCGUGGGGGAUAACGUAGGGAAACUUACGCUAAUACCGCAUACGACCUACGGGUGAAAGCAGGGGAUCUUCGGACCUUGCGCGAUUGAAUGAGCCGAUGUCGGAUUAGCUAGUUGGCGGGGUAAAGGCCCACCAAGGCGACGAUCCGUAGCUGGUCUGAGAGGAUGAUCAGCCACACUGGAACUGAGACACGGUCCAGACUCCUACGGGAGGCAGCAGUGGGGAAUAUUGGACAAUGGGCGCAAGCCUGAUCCAGCCAUACCGCGUGGGUGAAGAAGGCCUUCGGGUUGUAAAGCACUUUUGUUGGGAAAGAAAAGCAGCAGGUUAAUACCCCGCUGUUCUGACGUUACCAAAAGAAUAAGCACCGGCUAACUUCGUG